GUCCACGCCGUAAACGAUGGAUACUAGCUGUUGGGCGCAAGCUCAGUGGCUAAGCGAAAGUGAUAAGUAUCCCACCUGGGGAGUACGAACGCAAGUUUGAAACUCAAAGGAAUUGACGGGGGCCCCGCACAAGCGGUGGAGCAUGUGGUUUAAUUCGAUGAUACGCGAGGAACCUUACCAAGGCUUAAAUGUAGUCUGACAGGACUGGAAACAGUUUUUUCUUCGGACAGAUUACAAGGUGCUGCAUGGUUGUCGU
rnacentral:rRNA from 1 species